AGAGCGAACGCUGGCGGCAGGCCUAACACAUGCAAGUCGAGCGCCCCGCAAGGGGAGCGGCAGACGGGAGAGUAACACGUGGGAACGUGCCCUUUGGUUCGGAACAACACAGGGAAACUUGUGCUAAUACCGGAUAAGUCCGUAAGGAGAAAGAUUUAUCGCCAAAAGGAUCGGCCCGCGUCUGAUUAGCUAGUUGGUGAGGUAACGGCUCACCAAGGCGACGAUCAGUAGCUGGUCUGAGAGGAUGAUCAGCCUCACUGGGACUGAGACACGGCCCAGACUCCUACGGGAGGCAGCAGUGGGAAUAUUGCGCAAUGGGCGAAAGCCUGACGCAGCGACGCCGCGUGGGGAUGAAGGCCUUCGGGUUGUAAACCCCUUUCAGCAGGGACGAAGCGAAAGUGACGGUACCUGCAGAGAAGCGCCGGCUAACUACGUGCCAGCAGCCGC
rnacentral:rRNA from 1 species